GCUGGUAGUUUUUUCUCCUCGCGGGCCGAGUGACGCUGUGGUUCUCGCCUGAGAUGCCUCGGUGCUCCGCUCGCCAGACAUAGGAGUCGGCUGAGGGUGCGGUGCAUGCUGGGAAAUGUGGUCUGCGGCCUGGAGGCCAUUACGGUACACAAAGGCCUCACGUCGCGUGCCUCGCCUCUCUCCUUGUCCUCAGGCGACCUCCUCCUCUGACGGCAGCAGGAGAAGGGCUCUCAGGGCGGCCCAGAAAUUCAUGUCAAGCAACACAAUUCAGUCCAGAUAUUGUUGAGACAUCAACUCCCAGCAUUCCACACCGCUGAAAAUAGAAUGAAUGGACACUACAGUCUAACAGCAAUGCCUUUUUCUCAGCUCUAAAUGGGCAAUUUGAGACGUCACAAUCUGAUCCACACCAUGAAAAGAAUCCUUCCACUUGUCAAUUACUAAUACAAAUGCAACAAGGUUUGGCUAAAGACGCUGCUUCUGCGGACACUGGAGCGACGCUGCUUUGGAUUUCUCCCACUUCGACCCUGGACUUCGGCUGACAACGCUUCUCUUCCUGCGACUCCUUUUGUUAACCAUUUGUGUACUGUGCCUUUUUGUUUUGCCUCAGAGCGUUUUGUUUGACUUUUUGCUCUUUGCAUCCAGUUAAUCUGGAUUAUAUUUCUGUUAACCUUUUGGACCAGGUCUGGUUUGGUUUCUUUAGUUUUGACCAGUGGAACUGCACUUUAGUAUCUCUGCAUCCCUUUUCUUUUGUUUUAAUAAAUUCUGUUUUGAAGUCA